UGUCGCUGUAGAUUUAGCAGUACAUUACUGUAAAAAUCCACAGUACUAUACUGUAUGUAUACAUUACAGUACAGUACUGCAGUUCAUAAUGCAUUCUGGGUAAAUUUGUUUGAGCGGGAAAAUUUUACAGUAUAUUUUGGUCUUGAUGUAACCUUGCUGUAGCCAUUGCUGUAAUGUGCCAGGUGUACUUGCAAUAAUCAGAGAAAGUGCGCCAGAGUCAAAUCACACAGAGGGAGAGAGAGCACAACUCCUGGCUGCAGCUGAAGGAGGAUGAUUGAUUUCUGGCAGUUCGUCUUACCAUUGCUUGUAAGCUGGAUUGGGUAAGAUGGAUCAUCUUUAAAGGAACCAGGAGUUAAGGCAGAUGUGAAGCCACAACGGGUGAUACCAGACACACACCAAGCACAUUAUGUUCGGACAUUCAAUCAUGACAGGAUCCAUGUGGAUGCUGUCCAUUGAUGAAAGAGUUUGUUCAGCGGUUUCUGGAUAGAAUUAAUUCCAAAGAUGGGAAAAAGUGCACAUCCAGACAAGGAGCAAGCAAAAAGACAAGGAACUUGGUGCAGAGAAAAGCUGUGGCCAUUAACCCCCAUGUGAACAGCUUCAUGCAGUCCCUGAUUGAGUUCGAAUGGACGACUUCAAAGUAAAGGCCACUGUGGUCUGUCUGCCACAGUUUAAUGCAUUUAUUUUUAGUGUUAAAUGAAAUUUAAGUAGAAUAUUUAAAACUAUGGGCCAGUGUUCUUUUUACCACAGUGAAAUGUUACCUUUUAGUCGAUGAUGGACUUUAAACUGAAAACUUCAAACUAUGGAACAGUGUUCUAUUUGCCAGAGUUAAAUAUGUUACAGCAGGGGUCUCCAAACUUGUUUAUACUUGUUGAUUUUAUUUUAUGUUACUUGAUUAUAUGUUUAUUAUUGUUUAAAAUCUUGUUUUAAAUAUGUUUGUUUCAAUUAAAUGUUUUUUUAAAUAAAAUUUUGAUACAUA